GUUAAAACUAUUUGAAUUGGUUGACAUUUACCAUUCUUUCCAGGACUUUCUAUGAUAUUCAAUCAAUUAUCUGUCUUCUCCAACUUGUCUUUGCUCUUCUCGCUUAUCUCAUGGAAACAUGUUAUUCCCACCUUCUCCCACACUCAACUACUGUUUUCCUUAGGAGAGACCUUGAGUACUGUGAAAUCUCCUCAGAGAAAUGUUAAGCAAGUCACUCAAACUCUCUAGGCUACAGUUUCCUCAUCUGUGAAAGAAUAGAUCACAAGCUCACCAGCCACAGAGCUCAGCAUCAGAUCCUUACAGGGGACCGGUGACCAGGUGAGCAAGGGUCAUCACUCUAGAGAGAAGCUGAUGCCAACCAGCAUAGGUCAAGAACCAUCAUAAGACUAGAGGCUUCUCACUCCUUUUUCCAAAGCUACAUUAUGACUGGGAAAUUUCUAAAAGAUUGUUUAAAUUAUUAGAGCAAACUAAACUCUGAAUCAGAUUCCUGCUCUGCCACCUCCAAUGUGCCUAGAAAGGGAAGCAGAAGAGGCAACUUUACAUUAAAUUACCAUGUUUCCUCUGGAGUGGCAACUGUGAUUCAAGACAUGUGACUUUGUUUAUGGAUUAUCUUUAGCAAGCCGACCCUCACCUGGAAGAUUCACUUUGUGACUCUUAAACCAGAAGGUUGCUUAUUGCCCCUUCCUGUUUAAUAGAGUUCAUGGAGACCCAGACCUUCCAGACAUGCCAGUCCUGCUCUCCCCUGUGCCUGCGUAGUGAUUUAGAUGUCAUUUUUGCCUGUGCAGACUGUCCUGACGCUUCUGCCUCUGUAGGAAAGACAAAAACACACAACUUCCCAACAAUCAUAUUCCUAGAUCUUUACCUAAGUAAACUGAAAUCUCACAUUCACAAAACAACCUGUAUGCAAAUGUUUAUAGUAAUUUUACUCAUAAUCUCCAAAACCUAGAAGCAACCAAAAUGUCUUUCCACAGAUGAGUGGAUAAAAUAAUUGUGGUAAUUUUUGUUUUGCUUUGUUUUGAGAUAGGGUCUCACUUUGUUGCCCAGGCUGGAGUGUAGUGGCAGGAUCAUAGCUCACUGCAGCUUCAAACUCCUGGGCUCAAGCAAUCCUUUCAUCUCAGCCUUCAGAGUAGCUGGGACUACAGGUGUGCACCACCAUGCUUGGCUAAUGUUUAAAAAAUAUUUUUUUUUAAUGGAGAUGGGGUCUUCUAUGUUGCCCAGGCUGGUCUCAAGCUCCUGGGCUCAAGUGAUCCUCCCACCUGGCCUCCUAAAGAGCUGGAAUUACAGGCAUGAGCCACAAUUCCUAGCCAUGGUACAUUCAUAUAAUGGAGUACUAUUCUGCUGUAAAACAAACAAACAAACAAAAAAAAAAAA
rnacentral:lncRNA from 1 species